rnacentral:rRNA from 1 species
GAUGAACGCUGGCGGCGUGCCUAAUACAUGCAAGUCGAGCGAACAGACGAGGAGCUUGCUCCUCUGACGUUAGCGGCGGACGGGUGAGUAACACGUGGAUAACCUACCUAUAAGACUGGGAUAACUUCGGGAAACCGGAGCUAAUACCGGAUAAUAUAUUGAACCGCAUGGUUCAAUAGUGAAAGACGGUUUUGCUGUCACUUAUAGAUGGAUCCGCGCCGCAUUAGCUAGUUGGUAAGGUAACGGCUUACCAAGGCGACGAUGCGAAGCCGACCUGAGAGGGUGAUCGGCCACACUGGAACUGAGACACGGUCCAGACUCCUACGGGAGGCAGCAGUAGGGAAUCUUCCGCAAUGGGCGAAAGCCUGACGGGGCAACGCCGCGUGAGUGAUGAAGGUCUUCGGAUCGUAAAACUCUGUUAUUAGGGAAGAACAAAUGUGUAAGUAACUAUGCACGUCUUGACGGUACCUAAUCAGAAAGCCACGGCUAACUACGUG